AUGGGCAAGUCCCGGCAGGAGAUUAUUAGGUAUCCCGAUUCCGAUUCUGGCGAUGAGAUGGGCAGAUAUUCGGGGUCCCUCAUAAGUAUGGAGCCCCAAUUGGGAAUCAGCAAGGGGACGGGGACGGGGACGGUGAGGGAUUCCAGCAAAGAGCCGGCGAGAGACGUCGGCGGCAUGGAGAUUGGUCACGAUCACGACGACUCGGUUGUUGCUCUUUCUAGCCACCUUGAGAUGCUUAGGAGGGAGAUCUCGUUUCUGAUGAGAGAGGUCACGUCCAGGGGGUUGUUGCCUGCUGGAAACAACAAGGUUUCUCAAGAGCAGAUUUCCAACUUGUCCGUCCAGUUCAAGGAGAUGCGCACGCAACAAGUCAAGGAGGUGAAUUUGCCUUACCUAGGUUGCAAGACUGAGGAGGAGGUAAUGGAUUUUCUCUUGGUCGAGACGCAGCAGCUGCUCUUCCGCUUCACCUCUCUCGCAUCCACUCUAAAAACAUUCAGAGUCCCCAUCUCACCGGACAAGGUUGAAAAGCUGCGCCACAUAUCCACUGCGCUUGUGGGCAUAUCGGAGCUUAUAAAGAGCCACAAAUCUGCUGCUCAAAAGGACGUUGAAGAUUGUUUGGACCGUGACGGCUGGGAGGCUACGUGGGGCAGCCGGACCGGAAGAAACGGUGGAUUUGAUGACAUAACAACAUUGAGUUCUAUGCACUUCACGGCCUCCACGCCCGAGAACUUCCGGUUCCCUUCCGUAGCUGGCCCUGCCUUGCUAGUAUACUCGAUCAAACUGGUUGAUCUCAAUCCUAAUCUGAGCUGGCCUCUUGAUGUCUACGGCGUGGUCGCCGCACGGGACGAUCUUGACCACAACCGCAACAUUCUCUUCUGCCGGUCAGGGGAAAACUGCCAAAGAAUUAAGCAAGAGGACCCCUUUUUGCACUUGACUGGCCCAUCUCGUGCAAUUGUGGCUGACGAGCCUGUUUUCUUUCAAAUUGAAUUAAAAUUGAAAUAUGGAGCACAGUUCAAAGAUACAGCAUUGUUCACUGCCUAUCAAAGGUACCGCCCCAUGAAGCGGUAUGACAUCAUGCUGAUCAAUAGCCGCUGUUGUACAGCAGAGAUAAGUCUUGAGCGAUUUGCUCCAUCAAUCCAGGCCACAAUUGUUGGUGUUCGUGUGGUUGAAGGGGAGUCUUUUAACUAUGGAUGCAAAGUUUCUUGCUUCUUUUUUCCUGUUGAAGCAAUGUUGGGAAGCACCGUGGAAGUUGUUUUGCUUGACUGCAGUGGUGAAAGGAUGCAUGCUGGAUUAGAUGGGUAUCUUCCUUUGACAAGAAAUGUGAUGUCAGUGGGAUUGCAGGGCACACUCCGAGUUGUCAUAGGAGCAUACUCAAAGUCCAAACCCAGUAUCUCUCGAAUAAAUCACGUUGACUUUCCUGUCCAGCAGUGUCAAACAACUAUGCUUAAGUGUCAUGUUGGCGGCUCCAAAGUGGAGAUAGUUGUCGCUUGGUCUCGUCUUGUCAUGGACAAUCAUAAUCUUGUACUCGACGGCUAUUGA
rnacentral:rRNA from 1 species